AAUGAACGUUGGCGGCAUGGAUUAGGCAUGCAAGUCGGGGGAAUCCCGCAAGGGGGAACCGGCGUAAGGGGCAGUAAUGCAUGGGUACCUACCUUUGGGUUCGGGAUAGCCAUCAGAGAUGGUGGGUAAUACCGGAUGACGUCGUGAGACCAAAGAUUUAUCGCCCUUAGAGGGGCCCAUGUGAUAUUAGCUAGUUGGUGGGGUAACGGCUCACCAAGGCGAAGAUGUCUAGCGGGUGUGAGAGCACGACCCGCGCCACUCGCACUGAGACACUGGCGAGACACCUACGGGUGGCUGCAGUCGAGGAUCUUCGGCAAUGGGCGCAAGCCUGACCGAGCGAUGCCGCGUGAGCGAUGAAGGCCUUCGGGUUGUAAAGCUCUUUAGUGGGGGAGAAAAGCCGAAAGGUGUGAUCUAUCCCAAAAAUAAGCUCGGGCUAAGUCCGUGCCAGCCGCCGCAGUAA
rnacentral:rRNA from 1 species